GGCACUGUAGCUCAGUGGAUGGAGUGCGUGCCUAUGAUGCAGGAAGCCCUGGGUUCGAUUCCCAGCACCA
rnacentral:tRNA from 1 species